rnacentral:rRNA from 1 species
AUUGAACGCUGGCGGCAGGCCUAACACAUACAAGUCGAGCGGAGCGGCGGACGGGUGAGUAAUGCCUAGGAAUCUGCCUGGUAGUGGGGGAUAACGUCCGGAAACGGGCGCUAAUACCGCAUACUAUCAGAUGAGCCUAGGUCGGAUUAGCUAGUUGGUGGGGUAACGGCCUACCAAGGCGACGAUCCGUAACUGGUCUGAGGGGAUGAUCAGCCACACUGGAACGUAGACACGGUCCAGACUCCUACGGUAGGCAGCAGGGGGGAAUAUUGCACAAUGGGCGCAAGCCUGAUGCAGCCAUGCCGCGUGUGUGAAGAAGGCCUUCGGGUUGUAAAGCACUUUCAGCGGGGAGGCGUUACCCGCAGAAGAAGCACCGGCUAACUCCGUGCCAGCAGCCGCGGUAAUAC